GCUGCAGCGUGUUGAUAUUUAAGAACAACAAAGCAUUCCUCAAGCUCAAUGUUUAUCUGAUCCCGUGUGAUCCUGGUCUUCGACAGGAAAUUCUCAAGAUUGAAUCAACCAACGGAAACAAAGAAAUUCGAAAACCACCUGAAUAUAAGCACUUGAGAAUGAAGGAUCGUUUUAUCCUUUCAACCGAUAUGGAUGGUGCAGUAAUUUGUCCCAAAGAAGUCAAGCUCAAAUAUGAAUUCACCGAUCCACAGUACUUUCAAGUAUGUAUAAGAAAUCCAGACACAGACUUCAUCCUCAAGCUUACAAAAAAAAAAGAGAAUACACCAGUGUGGACCCGCACAAUUGACAAAGAUGAUUACCAAAGCAAUUCCCAUGCACCAGGUAAGAUAAAAUAAGAUAAUCCUUUAUUUAUCCCACAGUGGGGAAAUUUACAUAAGGGUGGUGCCUCGGAUUAGCUCUUCCAGGCGAUGGUGAAUGGACUUGAUCUUGGAAAGUGUUUUUCUAGUUUCUGACUACUGAAAGCACUUUUACACCGCAUGUCACACCUAC